rnacentral:rRNA from 1 species
GACGAACGCUGGCGGCGUGCCUAAUACAUGCAAGUAGAACGCUGAAGAGAGGAGCUUGCUCUUCUUGGAUGAGUUGCGAACGGGUGAGUAACGCGUAGGUAACCUGCCUUGUAGCGGGGGAUAACUAUUGGAAACGAUAGCUAAUACCGCAUAACAAUGGAUGACACAUGUCAUUUAUUUGAAAGGGGCAAUUGCUCCACUACAAGAUGGACCUGCGUUGUAUUAGCUAGUAGGUGAGGUAAUGGCUCACUUAGGCGACGAUACAUAGCCGACCUGAGAGGGUGAUCGGCCACACUGGGACUGAGACACGGCCCAGACUCCUACGGGAGGCAGCAGUAGGGAAUCUUCGGCAAUGGGGGCAACCCUGACCGAGCAACGCCGCGUGAGUGAAGAAGGUUUUCGGAUCGUAAAGCUCUGUUGUAAGUCAAGAACGGGUGUGAGAGUGGAAAGUUCACACUGUGACGGUAGCUUACCAGAAAGGGACGGCUAACUACGUGCCAGCAGCCGCGGUAAUACGUAGGUCCCGAGCGUUGUCCGGAUUUAUUGGGCGUAAAGCGAGCGCAGGCGGUUUGAUAAGUCUGAAGUUAAAGGCUGUGGCUCAACCAUAGUUCGCUUUGGAAACUGUCAAACUUGAGUGCAGAAGGGGAGAGUGGAAUUCCAUGUGUAGCGGUGAAAUGCGUAGAUAUAUGGAGGAACACCGGUGGCGAAAGCGGCUCUCUGGUCUGUAACUGACGCUGAGGCUCGAAAGCGUGGGGAGCGAACAGGAUUAGAUACCCUGGUAGUCCACGCCGUAAACGAUGAGUGCUAGGUGUUGGAUCCUUUCCGGGAUUCAGUGCCGCAGCUAACGCAUUAAGCACUCCGCCUGGGGAGUACGACCGCAAGGUUGAAACUCAAAGGAAUUGACGGGGGCCCGCACAAGCGGUGGAGCAUGUGGUUUAAUUCGAAGCAACGCGAAGAACCUUACCAGGUCUUGACAUCCCGAUGCUAUUUCUAGAGAUAGAAAGUUACUUCGGUACAUCGGUGACAGGUGGUGCAUGGUUGUCGUCAGCUCGUGUCGUGAGAUGUUGGGUUAAGUCCCGCAACGAGCGCAACCCCUAUUGUUAGUUGCCAUCAUUCAGUUGGGCACUCUAGCGAGACUGCCGGUAAUAAACCGGAGGAAGGUGGGGAUGACGUCAAAUCAUCAUGCCCCUUAUGACCUGGGCUACACACGUGCUACAAUGGUUGGUACAACGAGUUGCGAGUCGGUGACGGCGAGCUAAUCUCUUAAAGCCAAUCUCAGUUCGGAUUGUAGGCUGCAACUCGCCUACAUGAAGUCGGAAUCGCUAGUAAUCGCGGAUCAGCACGCCGCGGUGAAUACGUUCCCGGGCCU